rnacentral:sRNA from 1 species
GUUGGGUGUGGUGGAGCACACCUGUAAUCCUAGCAACUCAGGAGCCUGAGGCAGGAGGAUCUGGCAAAGCCAGCCUCAG